GCUUAGUGGCGGACUGGUGAGUAACGCGUGAGGAACCUGCCUCUCAGAGGGGGACAACAGUUGGAAACGACUGCUAAUACCGCAUGACACAUUUGGGCGGCAUCGCCUGGAUGUCAAAGAUUUUAUCGCUGAGAGAUGGCCUCGCGUCUGAUUAGCUAGUUGGUGAGGUAACGGCCCACCAAGGCGACGAUCAGUAGCCGGACUGAGAGGUUGACCGGCCACAUUGGGACUGAGAUACGGCCCAGACUCC
rnacentral:rRNA from 1 species